rnacentral:lncRNA from 1 species
CUCAUACUCACAACACAAAGUUUAUUGAAUUGAAACAUCGAAGACAUAAGAAAGAUUACACCUAAAACGCCCAAGAAUUCCACUUUGAAUUUCUGCACGUCAAGCUCCUCUUCUUCUUCUCCUUGCUGCGGCAGAGAUGGUUAAAGGGAUUUUUGGAUGUGGUUUUGGUUUAGGAAUGGAGUUAGGAUGAUAUGGUGGUGCGGCAAGGGGUAUGGAUGGUGUAUGGAGGUGUAUAAUGGUGGCUGGAGUAAAGGAUGGUUGCAGCAAGGAGGGAUUAAGGUGAUGGUGGCUGCGGCAAGGUGGGGAAAAGGGUUGGAUGAUUUUCUGAUUUGUGGAGAGGGAUCCCCUUUGCGGCAUGGUGGUAAAACACAUAUAUAUAGGCAGCCAAACCCUAAAGAAAUCAGGUUAGGCAAAUAGGCUAGGGUUUGGGUGCAGCAAGGGUUGGAAAUCCACCAGAAAAUAAGGUUUCUAGAACAUUAGGUGCGGCAUGGGCUUAGGGUAGAUAGAUUAGGGUUUAACUUGGCAGAAAUUAAAUGAUUAGGCCCUAGGGUGUGGCUGAUUAAGUGGGCUAGGAUUAGGGUUUAGGUGCGGCAUAGGCUUAGGGUCCACAAGGAGUUUAGGGUUUAUGUCAUCUAAAAGCCCAAAGCCAAGAAUAGAAACUCACGAAAAUGGAAACCUCCAAGAAUAGAAACUUCCAACUUUAGAAACUUUGGUUGCCAAUUCCGAAUUCUUUGUUCUUCACUUCCAUUCCUUCAUGUCUUAAGCUCCUAUGACAUCCAAGCUCGUCCAUUCCUCGUGCACCAUUAGCCUACACAACAUUCCGGCUCAAUUUUUCUCUAAAAUGCUCCAUUUCGCACCAUUUCAUGUAAUAUGUCCUUUAAACCUGAAAACACAUGAAAGUAGCUUAAAAGACUACUUUAACGAAGAGAACAUAACGAAAAUGCAUAAAAACUAGCUAACAUAGGAGCAUAAAUAUGCUCCUAUCAAAUAUGUGCUUGAAAUAAUUGAGACAGAAAACUAAUUCUAGUUUGCAAAUGAAAUUGAUAAACUAAAAUUGCAUCAUAACAUUAAUUCAAUCAUGUCUAGGGCUUCAAAGCAGCCCUAAGUAUCCAUAACCUAAAUUAAAAACAUAAAAAAAUACAUAAAAACAAAAUACAUAAAAAGUUAGGAAAGCUAGAACCUAGAAACAGCUCAAGGUGCAGGACUCCUCAUCCUCUUUGAUGUUGUGUAUCUCCUUUUUUUAUCUCCUUCAGAUUCUGUGUAUUUCUCUCUUAUUAAAAGGCUUAGAAGUUUUCUAACAUUUGACACAUUUACAUCCUUGAAUUAACUCUCAUUUAUAGCUCAUUACAAUCAGGUUUUGUAUAGGAGUAGUUGAAAACUAGCUGUUAUCAGAAUUUGUAACUAAACAGCUCCUCUUUAUUCUGUCAUAAUUUCUUGUAGAGACCUCCAAAUCACAAGCUGUAAAGAUCCUCAGAAAGAAGACUUCUAGGAAUUUCUAACCAUAUAUGGCCCAUUUUCUAAUUCGUUCUGAGCACUUUGGGGCAAAGCUCAUAAGUUGGCUGCUCUAUGAGGGACUUUUCUGGCGGAUCUUGGGCCACUUGUGGGCUAUGGUCUGGUCUUGGGUGAGUUGGUCUUCAAACUAUCUAUUCUAGGCUCUUAAAAUAUUCAAAAUAAGAUAAUUUCUUCAAGCCCUUACUUUCAUCCUGAAAUACAAUACAAACAACAAAAUAUCUUGUUAUACAUAGAAAUUUUAAGUAAAAAACCUAAGCAAAAGUAUAACUUUAUGCACUCAACAAGUUCUUGAACGAAAUUUUGUGAAAAACAUGUUCAUUUGAGCAACAUCUAUGGCAUGCAAUUAACAAUUAAAGGCAGAAUCAUGCUUGUAUGCACUCAAAAACAAAACAAUACCCAUGAAAUUCAAAGCCUAGUAGAAGGGUGAACCAAGACUCAACUCAAAACAAAGUGAGUUGAGAAACUUUAUACUUUGUUGAUUCCUCUUUGCAUAAGCAAAAGCUAAUCACCCAAGGAGAGGGCCUUCAUUCUUGCUUCUUAGCACCAUGGAUUUCUUGGAUAAGGAUGGUUGAAAGGUUUCUCCAAGUUCCCAAAGUUGAGAACCUCUAAGUCUCCACACUAAGGUAGGACUUGAAGAAGAGAUGAGUGACCUAGAGGAAGUAAGAUUGCUAGCUAAAAUCCUCUAGGGUGGCCGACCUCUUAGAGAGAAAAAUGGAGCUUGUGUUCUCAUCUUUUCUCCAAAAGAAACUCUAAGGAUGAAAUGAUUAUAAAGUUGCCUUUAUACCAUCUCAUAAUGGAGUGGCAAACUUGCAGUUAAAGUAAGUUCACUAUCCUCCUCUAUUUGGCCGGCCUUAAGGGUUUAUUGGGCUUUCAAGCCCUUUGUUUAUUCAAGUUGUCAUACAACUUGAGUUAAUGGGCUUGACAUUCAAAUCCCAUUGGGCCUUUGCGGCCCAAAACUAACCCUAUGUCUAUAACGAACUUAUUCGUUUGAUUAAUUAACAUAUUAAUUAAUCCUAACCAUAAAUAAUUAAACCAUUUAAUUAUCCUUAAUCAUCUCCGUUGUUUCUUCAAUCUCUACCUUACACGGUGUACGAUCCAUUAGGUUCCUUUUAGCAAGGCAGUUGGCGAUUGUUACUCUUAACGAUCAAUUGUGAAUUGAAACUUACUUUCAAUUCUCCCUUUAGUGAUUAUACACGUUUAUGGCUUCCACAAACCAUGAGUGACACCUAGCAAUAUACCAUGGUUACCCAAGCUAAUCAGAAGAGGUGGAUAACCUAUUCAGUUUAGGAUUACAAUGCAAUACGGUCUUUCUCUAAUACAAUACUCUUGACCACAUUGUUUGGUUUGAUAGUUUAAUCAUGUCUACUAUCCAAUGUGAUUCAUUUACUUAUAUGAUUACCUUGAAUGUGAUUUGGAACGACUUCCCAAAUUUCAUUCAUACUCUGGCCAGAGAUUCUUAAUCAUAUCAAAGAGCAUUCUCCCUCAAACGGUUUGAAGGUUAGAGAUCCCUUGUUGCACAUUCACUUGCCUCCAUGGCUAAGUGGCUUAACCCCAACUAUGUCGUGGACACCCUCUGACAGAGUGAUUUUGUCAUAGUCAAAGAUCAAGGACGUAACCACAAGACAACUAUGAUGCCUCAGGUCAAAUGACUACUUUGCAUUAUCCCAACCAUGAGUUCUCAUGUGACAUGAGUAUGAGAACUCCUCGUUGAUCGUGUUUAGUGGACUCAUUCUCUAUUGAGCACCUACAUGCUUGUCUUGGUGUCAAUCACACCAAUGACUCGAGACCAGUCACUCUUCCUGAGAGAAGACACAACACGUACUCUUAACGGACUGUCAAUGCCCAAUUGGCAAUCCUAUGAUCAGGAACGUUUACGAUAUGUAUACGAAAGAGAAUGGUCUCAUGAAUCUAACUUCUUUAAAUUACGUUCUCGUAAUUACAUAUUCCUUUGACUUAUCGUUUAAGCAUAUAACAUUUAUAUGUGACGGCUUAAAACAAUAAUCUUUGCCCUUAAUAUUAAACUAGAUUAGUUUAACAUGUGAAAUGUCCGUAAAGUAUCAUCAUAUGAUUGGUUUUAGGGUACAUUUCCAACAGUUCUGUCUAGUCAAAUAUUCUCGCUGCUAUCACCUGAGCUGGGCACACACUUUAAGACAACCCACAUGGGUUAUUUGACAGCUUUUUCUUGAAAAUGGUUUUUCAGCCCUAGAUCUUUCCAAAUUGUUUUUGCACAUGACACAUGGCUUUUCUUGUCCCGAUUCUUAUCUGAAUCAAGCCCUCUAUAAAAGCUUCAUCUAGGGUUUCAUUUCAACUUGGCUAGGAGAGUUUAUUUUCUGAAGAAAAAAAAAGGUUGAUUUUAGCUUGGCACUGCCCUUUGGUUCUUACUUAAAAACCCUAGCCACAAAAUCACAUUCAUGCACUCAACACCCACAUCAUUACAUAUUAGUGUAGCAUUGCUUUUGUGAUUUUGAGCUUUGUUUCAAGUCAAGUUUUUAUAAGUUUCAAAUAUUUGAACUGACCUUUUUUUGGAUUCGCUUCAGUUUCUUCUUUCAAGUGUUUGACCGAUGAAAUUGACUAGACGACGAAUCCAAAUUUGCAUAAACUUCAUCAUAAUAUCAUUUGUAUAAAUUGAUUGAUUCUCGGUGCCACAAGAUGAAGAGCUCAUGAGGAGCUGCCACUUCAUGAAGAUCGAAGAAGUCCAUCUUGUGAAAGGCAAGGUUGCACAAAGGUCUAAGCUGUUCCUAGAUAGAGAUCUAAGAAUUGAGCUUGUGUGGUUACUUUGUAAGAAUCUUGAUUUCACUAUUGGAUUAGACUGAGUGGAGAGUCCUAGGUUUUUUUUAACCCAGAGGUAGGUUUUUCCGGCCAAAAACAUCCUGUGCAAUUUAUCGCUUUACUAGUUUACUUAUCUUCCUUUUGAUUGUGAUAUAUGCUCUUCAUUAUCCACAAAUAGAUAAGUCCUUGCAACUAAGUUUGUCAAUAUUAAAAUGUACACUAAAUUGGACCUUAGUUAACUAGGAACAUUUUAAUAAAUUGAACUUUAAUUUGACUUCUUCCGUUGCAAGUAAACUAACAUAUCUGAGCUUAGUUGAUGAGUGUUGCUGACUAGUCAGACAAACACGUACAUAGUUUUUAAAUUGCAACUUAUUCCACCUAGUAUCAAUUUCAAUAUCAAAUGAGAUACAAAAAAAGGCUGGAAAAAGUGUGAGAUAUGCAGUUCAAUUGCUUACAGGCAAAAAAGAUGAUACUUAAGACUAGUUUGGUAUUGCUGUGCUUUGAAAAAAAAAAUUGUUUCUAUUGUGCUGUGAGAAUAAAUGGCUAUGAAAUAAAGCAAUAGAGUGUUUGGUAAACCAUUUUGUAAAAGUGCUUUUAACAAAAAAAGUAGUGUUAAAGUGUUCGGUAAAUUUUUAUGUAAAACCGCUGCGACUAUGUAAAAUGACUAAACAAGAUAUGAUGUUGAAUAUUAUAUAAUAAUUUUUUUAUCUUUUCUUUUAGUAUGACAUUUAUAAGAUUAUAUAAACUAUUUAUAAACAAUUGUAAGCUUUGAAGAAUGUACUUUUACCUUUUUUUUAUUAAGACUAGCAUAUGGGCACAUACAAAGUGUGUGAGAAAUUUUUUUAUUUUUGUUUUUGAAAUAGAAGGAGAGAGGAAGAGAGUGAAAGAGAAUGUGGGAGUGGGAAGUUCUAUUUUUUUUUAACUUUUUUUUAUUAGAGAUAUGUUAGGAUUACAUGUAGGUGAGGCUUUGAAAAAAACAACAGCAAAAUUUGGUUGUGUGAAAUUACAUUUCUACCCCAUAUUUCUUAUUCAUGUUCUGUUUUAAUUAGAAGGUUAAACUGGUAAUUUCAUAAGAUUUUGGUUGACAAUGAGUGUUCUAUUAAUUAGUAGAGAUAUUUAUAAUUUUAUUUAUUCUAUUCUUUUCUUUAAGAGUCAUUUCUUCUUUACCUUGUCCUUAUUUUAUUUGUGCAAAACCUAUUAAUAGGAGUGUUUUAAGCUAUUUUCGUGUGUUUGUAGGUCCUAAUAACAAAGUUGGAAAAAAAGUGCAUUUUGGUGCAAUUUGGAGCAAUUUUGGGCCAAAAUGGAUUGCAUGCAUAUGGAGCAAGUGGGAUGGACGUUUUUGGUGUUUUAAAAAGGGUUUCAACACAUGCAAAAAUCCGAAUAAUGAAGUUGAAGUGUGGAAGUGUGCAGAUACAUACACUUAAGGAACAAUUUGAAAGGAAAAGAAGUGAAAAAUGCCAUUUGUUGGAUUGCUUUACAAGUUGUAUUCACAUUUUCAGCAACUACAAACAUAAUUACAAGCUGAAAUGAUGCAUAGCAUGUGUGUAGAGGUGUAAAGUGGCCGAAAGUUGAUGUUUGCAAGAUGAAAUGAUGCAAAACAUGUGUGUGAAAGUUGUCUAACAUCUAGUACAUGUGGAAAAGGGAUGGAAUACAAGGCAAAUGCAUCAGAAAUUGAAGAAUGAAGGCACAUGGACAGCUACAAAGGAGUUGAAUUAGCAAGAGAGGAAUGAUUGCCUUUUGUUAAAGGCAAGACACAAUCAUAAAAGAGCAUGUAAAGUAGCUGUUUUUGCAUCAUUUUGGUCUUUGUUUGUAUUGUUUAUUGAAGCCACUUGAGUGAUUCUUUGCUUUGGAGCUUCUAUAAAUAGGGAGUGAAGGGAAGAACAUAGGGGGACAUCAAAAACACAUCAACCACCCCUCCAUAUUCAGAAUUUUCGCCAGAAAUCAUUCCCUCUCUUUGCCGCAGCCUUCCUUCACCAUUCUUUCAUAUUUUUCUGAUUCUUUUUACCCUAGCCGUACCCCCUAUCAAUCCUAAACCCUUCCAUACCAUUCCCUACCCAUUCUCCCAUACAAAUACCACCCUAGAACCUGACUUUAGACCAAGUGCCGCAGUAAGGAGGAAAGAAGACUUGUGGAUGCACCUGCUGUCCAAGUUGGAUCAUCUAGGUGUUUUCUUUCUUUGGAUUUUAAUGUCUAAAUUUAUGUAUCUUUGCUUUGUGAGUAUGAGGAACUAAACCCCCCUUGGCUAGGGGGAAUUCGAAACCAUGUUUAUGCUUGCUAUAUGAUUUGAUUACUUCUAAUUGCGUUUCAUAAGUUGUGAAUUCAAUUUACUUAUCUACAUGAAUUAAAACUGAUUUGUGUAUGUUGGUUGAGAGUGCACGCUUAAUUUUCAUGCAUAAGUUUGAUGCUAGGAUAUAAGGGAGUUUCACCUAAUCGUUAUGAACUUAUAUUCACAAGUAGUAAAGGUUGUUGAUCACAAUCGUGUUAAGUAAAUUAUUGGCAUGAGUUUCAUGCAAUUCAUAGUAACGAGUGCUUUGCCAAUGCUUAUGAUUUUCAUAGAACUUAAUGAUUCUUGCUUGUAUCUCUAUUAUGCAAUUCAUGUAGGGAACUUGUGGGGAAUGCUUUGGGUUGUCGUAUGCAAUUCAUCUAAUUCAAUAACUUAAGGAAAAUCUGAGGGUUAAUUAGUGCAAUUCACGGUUAAUCUGGGGUGUUGGGAAUUCAUGGUUUAUCGAAAAGCAAUUGGAAAUCGUUUUGUAUGCAAGUGUGACAUGUGUGGAGAAGAACCCCUUAGCUAGCUUUCCAUCCAUUAACUUUUAUCAAAUUCGUUUUAGAAUCUGUUCAAUUUACAAAGUUUGUUCUUGUUUUCAAUUUUCGUCAAAACUCAAUCCCCAUUUAUUUUGAAGUGUUGGAUUAGUUAGAAAUCAAUUUAGUUUGUGUUUUUAAGUGUCUUGAGUCAAGUCAUAACCCAAUUCGUCCAAUUUAGUGUUAGGUGUUCAAAACUGCCCAGAAAGUGUUUUUAAGGCAGUUUUGAGUGUUUAUUUGUUGUUUUGAGUCUUUUGGUUUGUUUUGGUGUUUUAUAGUUUAGUUUUGCAUUCUUUGAGUCUAGUUUAGUGUUUUAAACUUUGUUUUUACGUUUUGAGUUAGUUUCAAGUGAUUUGGCAAUCCCUCCUAAUCCCCGGCCUAGAACGAUCCCUACUUACAUACUUUGCUACAAUUGAUAAAAAGAGGGUUUAAUUUGUGUGCUUAUAUAUUUCGCAUCACAUAUGUAUAUUUUAUCUUCUGCCGCUAACUCCCUCUCUUCCCCUUCUCUCUCUGCCUCUCUUUGUCUCUCUCGACCUAAUCCUAAAGAAAGCUAGGUCAUGGGGAAAGGAAGGCUCGGUCGCAUUAACCGAUUCGUAGACGAUGGAUGAAUUUCGAUUUUAGGACUUACCAUCGGUGAUAGGAGCAUAUUUAUGCGACUUAGUUUGUUUUCUUGCAUUUAUGUUAUUAGUUCAUAGUUAUUUUAGUAUUUUAAGCUAUUUUCGUGUGUUUGUAGGUCCAAAGGGCUAAAGUAGCAAGAAAGUGUAUUUUGGUGCAUUUUGGAGCAGUUUUGGGCUUGGAAUGGAUAACACAUGCAUGGAGCAAGGUGGAUGGACGAAAUUGAAGACUAAAGAGGCUAGGAAUGUGUUAAAGAGAAAGAAGAAUUAAUUUAAAGAAGAUAAGGAACUCAGCAAGAAAAGAAGAAACAUGAGUCAAGUUACCUUAUUUUGAUUUAACCUUUCUUAAUCCUAAUCUAACUAAGUUCCAGCCACAAGGAGAGUUCCCAAAGAUAUUAGGACACUAAAUAAAGGAUUCUAGAAACCCUAAUCUCAGCCACAAAGGGGUGUCACACCACUUUUCCCCUUUCAUUGCCUUGCACACCACCCUUGUCCCCUUCAUUGUCUCCUUGCUGCACCAUUCCACCACCCUUCCCCUUCCUUGUCGUGCAUUCAUCCUUUGUCUCCUUGCAGCUUUAACCUUUUACCUUUCCUUCCCUUUUCCUUGUCACACCACUCCCUUUCUUUUCCUUAGCUGUGCACUCCUUCCCCUUUUUUCUAGAUUUCUGCCACAACUUUCACUUUCACUUUCACUUUCACUAUUGUGUCAUAACCUUUCCCUUUCCCUUGCCUUGUGUCCCCUUCCUUGUCCCCUUAACCUUUUCCUUGGAUUCUGAUUUGAUUUAAAGUUAAAAAUCCUUCUACAAUCAUUAGUUUCUUUCCCUUGGUUUUUCUGCAGCACCCUAGCUGUAUUUCAUUAGUGUUUUGACAUAUUUUGCUAUUUAAGUAAGUGUGUGUAACAGCCAUGGGGCAUUCAUCAUUCAUCCACUUCCAUACACACCAUUCACCACCAUUCACACAACUAGAAAGCCAUACACAAACAUCUUUGUUGGAGCCAUCAUCUCACACAUUCACCACCAUACAUACUUGGUGCGAGAAUUACUUGACACACAAAUUUAACCCUCUUUUUGACAAUUGUAGUAUAGAUGUAAGUAGGGUAUCGUUCUAGGCCGGGGAUUAGGAGGGAUUGCUAAUCUAUUCUAAAUUAAUUUAGAAAUAUUAAACAAGACUCAAGGACACAAAACUAAGCUAAAAACUCUAAUAACUCGAAACACACUUAGAAUGACUCAAAAUAAUGAAAACAAUCAAAUUAGACACUAGGAACUGAAAUGGACGGAAAUUGAAUUAAAAGACUAACAACAAUGAAAACUAACUAAAUAAUAUAAUUUAAUAAUGGGGGGUUUGGUUUUGAUGAAAAGUAAAUUAAACUUAAAUAAAUUACAGAAUUGACAAAAACAUGAAAUUAAGGUGAAAGGAUAGGUGACGGACUAUCUAGAGGGUUCUUCUCCACACAUGACACAUAUGCAACCUAAAUUGAUUUUCAGUUGUUCUUUCAAUAAAUUGUAAAUCACAAUACUUCAGAUUAACCGUGAACAACACUUUUUUAAUCUUCAAGUUUUCCUUAAGUUAUUGGGUUGGAUGAUUGCAUACAACAACCCAAAACAUUCCCUACACGUUCCCUACAUGAAUUGCAUAAUAGAGAUACAAGCAAGAAUCAUUAAGUUCUAUGAAAAACAUAAGCAUUGACGA